rnacentral:tRNA from 1 species
AAGAAAUUAGUUAAAAAAUCAACAUUUGAAUGUCAAUCUUAAAUUACUUUAAACAGUAUUUCUUU